GACUCUAUAGCUCAGUGGUUAGAGCAUACGAUUGCAGUCACGUGACCUAUCGUGUUGUCGCGUGUUCGACUCACGCUAGGGUCU